rnacentral:rRNA from 1 species
GUGGGGAAUUUUGGACAAUGGGGGCAACCCUGAUCCAGCCAUUCCGCGUGAGUGAAGAAGGCCUUCGGGUUGUAAAGCUCUUUCGGCAGGAACGAAACGGUGAGCUCUAACAUAGCUCGCUAAUGACGGUACCUGAAGAAGAAGCACCGGCUAACUACGUGCCAGCAGCCGCGGUAAUACGUAGGGUGCGAGCGUUAAUCGGAAUUACUGGGCGUAAAGCGUGCGCAGGGGGUUGUGUAAGACAGGUGUGAAAUCCCCGGGCUUAACCUGGGAACUGCGCUUGUGACUGCACGGCUAGAGUAUGGCAGAGGGGGGUGGAAUUCCACGUGUAGCAGUGAAAUGCGUAGAGAUGUGGAGGAACACCGAUGGCGAAGGCAGCCCCCUGGGCCAAUACUGACGCUCAUGCACGAAAGCGUGGGGAGCAAACAGGAUUAGAAACCCCUGUAGUCC